rnacentral:rRNA from 1 species
UACGAAGGUUGCAAGCGUUGUUCGGAAUCACUGGGCUUAAAGCGCAUGUAGGUGGACCAGAAAGCAGUUUGUGAAAUCCCGCGGCUUAACCGCGGAAUUGCUUGCUGAACUGCUGGUCUUGAGGCAAGUAGGGGUGCAUGGAACUCUUGGUGGAGCGGUGGAAUGCGUAGAUAUCAAGAGGAACGCCAGAGGUGAAAACGGUGCACUGGGCUUGUUCUGACACUGAGAUGCGAAAGCGUGGGGAGCAAACGGG